rnacentral:rRNA from 1 species
UGGGGAAUUUUGGACAAUGGGCGAAAGCCUGAUCCAGCAAUGCCGCGUGUGUGAAGAAGGCCUUCGGGUUGUAAAGCACUUUUGUCCGGAAAGAAAUCCUUGGCUCUAAUACAGUCGGGGGAUGACGGUACCGGAAGAAUAAGCACCGGCUAACUACGUGCCAGCAGCCGCGGUAAUACGUAGGGUGCAAGCGUUAAUCGGAAUUACUGGGCGUAAAGCGUGCGCAGGCGGUUUGCUAAGACCGAUGUGAAAUCCCCGGGCUCAACCUGGGAACUGCAUUGGUGACUGGGCAGGCUAGAGUAUGGCAGAGGGGGGUAGAAUUCCACGUGUAGCAGUGAAAUGCGUAGAGAUGUGGAGGAAUACCGAUGGCGAAGGCAGCCCCUGGGCCAAUACUGACGCUCAUGCACGAAAGCGUGGGGAGCAAACAGGAUUAGAUACCCUGGUAGUCCACGCCCUAAACGAUGUCAACUAGUUGUU